rnacentral:rRNA from 1 species
AUUGAACGCUGGCUGCAGGCCUAACACAUGCAAGUCGAGCGCGCGGCGGACGGGUGAGUAAUGUAUGUGUACUGCCCGAUAGAGGGGGAUAACUACUGGACACGGUGGCUAAUACCGCCUACUAUCGGAUAACCCGUAUGGGAUUAGAUAGUGGGUGGGGUAAAGGCUCACCUAGGCGACGUUCUGUAGCUGGUCUGAGAGGAUGAAAAGCGACACUGGGACGGAGACACGGCACAGACUACUACGGAGGCAGCAGUGGGGAAAAUUGCACAAUGGGCGGAAGGCUGACGUAGACAUGCCGCGUGUAUGGAGAGGGCCUUAGUGUUGGAAAGUACUUUCAGUGGGGAGGAGGUAUUAGAAGAAGAAGCACCGGCUAACUCCGUGCCAGCAGCCGCGGUAAUAC